UACGUAGGGGGAAAGCGUUUUCCGGAUUUACUGGGUGUAAAGGGCGCGUAGGCGGGUUAGCAAGUCAGGGGUGAAAUACUACAGCUUAACUGUAGAACUGCCUUUGAAACUGCUAAUCUUGAGUGCGGAAGAGAGAGACGGAAUUCCAGGUGUAGCGGUGAAAUGCGUAGAUAUCUGGAGGAACACCAGUAGCGAAGGCGGUCUCUUGGUCCGUUACUGACGCUCAGGCGCGAAAGCGUGGGGAGCAAACAGG
rnacentral:rRNA from 1 species